UCCCUGGCCGUCCAAUUGUUAGGACUCUGCACUCUCACUGCUGAAGACCUGGGUUCAAUCCCUGGUCAGGGAA
rnacentral:tRNA from 1 species